ACGUAGGGUGCGAGCGUUAAUCGGAAUUACUGGGCGUAAAGCGUGCGCAGGCGGCUUUGCAAGACAGAGGUGAAAUCCCCGGGCUCAACCUGGGAGCUGCCUUUGUGACUGCAAGGCUAGAGUACGGCAGAGGGGGAUGGAAUUCCGCGUGUAGCAGUGAAAUGCGUAGAUAUGCGGAGGAACACCAAUGGCGAAGGCAAUCCCCUGGGCCUGUACUGACGCUCAUGCACGAAAGCGUGGGGAGCAAACAG
rnacentral:rRNA from 1 species